AAGAAAAAAAUGGAAAAACACCUUCUCGCUUAGAGCUUUUUCUUGAAUCCAGAAAGAGAAAGCAAGGCAAAGAAAUUGAUCCAAUAUCACAAGAAGCCAUUGAAAAGUUUCAGCAACUAAAGAAACAACGAGAAGAAUGACAAAUUUCACUGGAUGAUGAUGCUAUGUUUGCUGAUGUACUUGGGCCAGAAAAAAUGGUUAUGUACGUGCUUAUGGUCCUGAAAAAAAUGUCACGGAAUAUUUUGGUGCUAGACCUACAAAGAUAGAACUACUUAGACAACUUGAUACUUCAAGAAGAGAAGCAAACGAGCGUGUCCAACAAAUUCAAAAAGAAGCAAGUGAACAAGUAAAUGAUGUUAAGAAGCAAAUGGAUGAGAAACUUGCAGAGAUGAAUAGAAUAUGGGAGCAGAAAUUCAAGAUGCUUUUGGAG